rnacentral:rRNA from 1 species
GACGAACGCUGGCGGCGUGCUUAACACAUGCAAGUCGAACGAAGUGGCGAACGGGUGAGUAACGCGUAAUCAACCUGCCCUUCAGAGGGGGAAAACAGUUGGAAACGACUGAUAAUACCGCAUAAUGAAGGGGGAGAUUGCGUCUGAUUAGCUAGGUGGAGGGGUAACGGCCCACCAAGGCGAUGAGCGGUAGGCGGUCUUGGAGGUUGAACGGCCACAUUGGGACUGAGACACGGCCCAGACUCCUACGGGAGGCAGCAGUGGGGAAUCUUCCGAAAUGGACGAAAGUCUGACGGAGCAACGCCGCGUGAGUGAUGACUGCCUUCGGGUUGUAAAGCUCUGUUAAUCGGGACGCGGUACCGGAAUAGAAAGCCACGGCUAACUACGUGCCAGCAGCCGCGGUAAUAC